UGUAAUAUAGAAAAAUUUUCAGUUCAAUUACUUCACAAUUUUUGCAUUUGCAAAAAUCAUAUAAAAUAUUGAUGAAUUAAGAUUCAACUAACAUAUUUCUGCUUUAUUCUCAUUGUAUUUUUAAAACAAAAAUAGAUUUUGUUUAAAAAAUUCUUUCUAUAUGUAAAUAUUCUAAAAUGUAAUAUUCCACUUGGCACUAAGUAUUUUUGUUCACUCUUCUCAUCCAUGUCAUUGGUCUCCCUUGUUAUAGUCUUAAUUUAAUUUCAUCACAUAUUCUUUGUAGAUUAGAUCAGUUUGAAAACAAUGCCUUUAGUGUCUUCCAUCUUAGUAGGACAUUUCCUACUGAAGAACAAAAUUAUCUACAGUCUUUUUUCCCUCGCAUCAAGACCAAAAUAUGAAAGCAGUAUGUCUUUAAUUAGAAUAAAUAAUGAAGAGUCUUACUCUAACUACAGAAAAUAUAACACCUGUUUAGAUUCCUAAAUAGUUGAAGAUGGUUUAUUGGAAAUUAACCUCAUAUUAAAGGGAGUCUCCUGAAUGUAUCCUAAAAGGAUAUCUGUGGCCUGGACUUGAAUUGCUUCCUGAUUUCUGUGUGUCUCUGUCUGUUGCCUUUGCAUAACAGGUCACUUUAAUUAUCAAGUGACCCGGUGGCUACAAGGCACUCAUGAAUGUUGCAGUUUACUGCAAGGAUAGGUGACAGAGAUAGACAGCCCAAAAGAAUGGCUCAAUGUUGUGGUCAGGGUUCAGGGCAAUAGAAAUGCCAUAGAGCCAAGAAGAAGAAAGCAGGUUUUACUGAGAGUUCUACCUGUUGGGCAAACAGACAAGGAAGUAAUCAUGGUUAAUGGUGGUAACCUUUAUAAAUAUGUUAUAAAAUUAAUUAAAUUAUUUCAAUCAUUAUGUAACAUGUAUUAUGAAUCAUAAAUGCUGGGUGCAAAACAUGGUAUUAAAAUAAAAACUAUAAAUAUAUUUAUUUACACAAAA
rnacentral:lncRNA from 1 species